AGUGAACGCUGGCGGUAUGCCUAACACAUGCAAGUCGAACGGCAGCACAGUAAGAGCUUGCUCUUACGGGUGGCGAGUGGCGGACGGGUGAGGAAUACAUCGGAAUCUACUUUUUCGUGGGUGAUAACGUAGGGACACUUACGCUAAUACCUCAUACUACCUACGGUUUAAAUCAGGGGAUCUUCGGACCUUUCGCUAUUGAAUGAGCCGGUGUCGGAUUAGCUAGUUGGCGGGGUAAAGGCCCACCAAGGCGACGAUCCGUAGCUGGUCUGAGAGGAUGAUCAGCCACACUGGAACUGAGACACGGUCCAGACUCCUACGGGAGGCAGCAGUGGGGAAUAUUGGACAAUGGGCGAAAGCCUGAUCCAGCAAUACCGCGUGGGUGAAGAAGGCCUUCGGGUUGUAAAGCCCUUUUGUUGGGAAAGAAAAGCAGCAGGUUAAUACCCCGCUGUUCUGACGGUACCCAAAGAAUAAGCACCGGCUAACUUCGUG
rnacentral:rRNA from 1 species